CCCUUAGAUGUUCUGGGCCGCACGCGCGCUACACUGAUUCAUGCAACAAGUUUUGUCCUUGGCUGAUAGGCCUGGGUAAUCUUUGAACGUGAAUCGUGAUGGGGAUAGAUGAUUGCAAUUAUUCAUCUUCAACGAGGAAUUCCUAGUAAACGCAAGUCAUCAGCUUGCAUUGAUUACGUCCCUGCCCUUUGUACACACCGCCCGUCGCACCUACCGAUUGAAUGGUCCGGUGAAAUCUUCGGAUCUGAGAGAUGUCUGAUUAAUUUCGGACGCCUUUUGGAAAAGUUGUUUAAACCUUACCAUUUAGAGGAGGGUGAAGUCGUAACA
rnacentral:rRNA from 1 species